rnacentral:rRNA from 1 species
ACACAUGCAAGUCGAACGGACAGAUUUAGAGCUUGCUUUAAAUCUGUUAGUGGCGGACGGGUGAGUAACGCGUGGGUAACCUGCCUUAAACAGAGGGAUAGCAAGUGGAAACGCUUGGUAAUACCACAUAAAGCCUAAGCAUUGCAUAAUGAAUAGGUGAAAGGAGGAAUCCGGUUUAAGAUGGGCCCGCGUCCAAUUAGCUAGUUGGUGAGGUAAGAGCGCACCAAGGCGACGAUUGGUAGCCGAACUGAGAGGUUGAGCGGCCACAUUGGGACUGAGAUACGGCCCAGACUCCUACGGGAGGCAGCAGUGGGGAAUAUUGCGCAAUGGGGGGAACCCUGACGCAGCGACGCCGCGUGAAGGAAGAAGGUCUUCGGAUUGUAAACUUCUUUGAUUAGGGAAGAGGAAGGACGGUACCUAAAGAACAAGCCACGGCUAACUACGUGCCAGCAGCCGCGGCAAUACGAAGGGCCCGAGCGUUAAUCAGAAUCACUGGGCUUAAAGCGUGCGCAGGCGGAAACGUCAGUGUCUUGUGAAAUCCCACGGCUCAACCGUGGAAUUGCAGGGCAUACUGCGUUUCUUGAGGUCGGUAGAGGUCGCCGGAACUCUAGGUGUAGCGGUGAAAUGCGUAGAUAUCUAGAGGAACGCCGAAGGUGAAGACAGGCGACUGGGCCGAUUCUGACGCUCAGGCACGAAAGCGUGGGGAGCAAACAGGAUUAGAUACCCUGGUAGUCCACGCCGUAAACGUUGUGCACUAGAUCCUGGAGGUACUGACACCGUCGGGGUCGAAGAUAACUUGCUAAGUGCACCGCCUGGGGAGUACGGUCGCAAGGCUAAAACUCAAAGGAAUUGACGGGGGCUCACACAAGCGGUGGAGCAUGUGGCUUAAUUCGAGGCAACGCGAAGAACCUUACCUGGGUUUGACAUGCUUGGAUUAGCCUGUCGAAAGACAGGUGACGCUAAUUCUAGUGGAACUUGCACAGGUGCUGCAUGGCUGUCGUCAGCUCGUGCUGUGAAGUGUCGGGUUAAGUCCCUUAACGAGCGAAGCCCCUGCCGCUAGUUGCCAUCAGGUCAAGCUGAGCACUCUAGCGGGACUGCCGGUGUCAAACCGGAGGAAGGUGGGGAUGACGUCAAGUCCUCAUGGCCUUUAUGCCCAGGGAUGCACACGUGCUACAAUGGUAGGUACAACGCGACGCGAUGCCGCGAGGCGGAGCAAAUCGCAAAAAACCUGCCCCAGUUCGGAUCGCAGUCUGCAACUCGACUGCGUGAAGUUGGAAUCGCUAGUAAUCGCGUAUCAGCUAUGACGCGGUGAAUACGUUCCUGAGCCUUGUACACACCGCCCGUCAAGUCAUGGAAGCCGGGAGCACCCG